AAUGAACGCUGGCGGCGUGGAUAAGACAUGCAAGUCGAACGAAGAGAGAUUUAGUUUACUAAUGAUCUCUUAGUGGCGGACGGGUUAGUAACGCGUGAGCAACUUGCCUCAAAGAGGGGGAUAGUCCUGGGAAACUGGGUUUAAUACCGCAUGUGCUCUUCGGAGUAAAGCUGGCUUCGGCUAGUGCUUUGAGAUAGGCUCGCGUCCUAUCAGCUAGUUGGUGAGGUAACGGCUCACCAAGGCGACGACGGGUAGUUGGUCUGAGAGGACGAUCAGCAACACUGGAACUGAGACACGGUCCAGACACCUACGGGUGGCAGCAGUCGAGAAUCAUUCACAAUGGGGGCAACCCUGAUGGUGCAACGCCGCGUGGAGGAUGAAGGCCCUAGGGUCGUAAACUCCUGUCAUAUGAGAGUAAGGCAUAUUAGUUAAUAGCUAGUAUGUUUGAUAGUAUCAUAAGAGGAAGGGACGGC
rnacentral:rRNA from 1 species